rnacentral:rRNA from 1 species
UUUUAUGGAGAGUUUGAUCCUGGCUCAGGAUGAACGCUGGCGGCGUGCCUAAUACAUGCAAGUCGAGCGAACGGACGAGAAGCUUGCUUCUCUGAUGUUAGCGGCGGACGGGUGAGUAACACGUGGAUAACCUACCUAUAAGACUGGGAUAACUUCGGGAAACCGGAGCUAAUACCGGAUAAUAUUUUGAACCGCAUGGUUCAAAAGUAAAAGACGGUCUUGCUGUCACUUAUAGAUGGAUCCGCGCUGCAUUAGCUAGUUGGUAAGGUAACGGCUUACCAAGGCAACGAUGCAUAGCCGACCUGAGAGGGUGAUCGGCCACACUGGAACUGAGACACGGUCCAGACUCCUACGGGAGGCAGCAGUAGGGAAUCUUCCGCAAUGGGCGAAAGCCUGACGGAGCAACGCCGCGUGAGUGAUGAAGGUCUUCGGAUCGUAAAACU